rnacentral:lncRNA from 1 species
AUGUUUGUCAGAAAGAUUAUUCACUACUGUCUCUCUCUCUCUCUCUGUGUCUGUGUGUGUGUGUGUGUGUGUGUGUGUGUGUAUGUAUGUAUGUAUGUAUGUGUGUGUGUGUGUGUGUGUGUGUGUGUGUGUGUUACAGGUGCUGUUUGUGAAAGAGACUUGUACAUUGUCCCUGGGUCAGUGAAGGAGCGAUUGAGCAGACAGGAGCUCAGAGUUGAGGCCUCCGCUUGCACCAACGAGGAAGAGAAGGGACUUUCAGAUGGGAGAGGAAGGACCGACUUGUGUAAACGCCAGUGCUGAACCUGUCCUCUCGCCAAAUCCAACGUGGCUGUUUAAUGAGCAACCUCGUGGGACACAUGAACAAACACCUGGCCCUCAUGAAGCAGUGAGCUGCCAAGAUCGAUGUCCCAGUGACCACAACAAUGAUGCUAAAGUGGGACAUGUAGGACAAUGAUCUUGCAACGGGAACAUACAUGACAGUUCGUGACAACCUACCACCAUGUGCAUCAGACUGAUGGAGCAACUCACAGUUUGUGACUGUCCACUGGUGGAGCUGAACCGGGCUGGAGAACAAAUGCCUGUGCAAAGUAAACACAUACAGUGUCUCUACAAUAUCUCUCCCACUGCUACCAGUUCAGUAGGCCAAACGUACUAAAGCCUGGUGCCUCCCUCUCCUUCUCUCUCUCUCCCUCCUACUCUCUCUCUCCCUCACUCAUACACACACUGACAGCCUCUCUUUCCCUCUGAAAGAAGGUCUUAUUGUGGCGAUUUCAGCUGUCUCAAGGGCAUCCAGAACAAAGAAGCUUUUCACCCCUCUGCAUAUCCUCCUCGCAUCCUUCACUCUCUCACCUCACACUUCUUUUUCCGCGACUCCUGUAUCAUGCAAUCCUCACUUGUUUGCAACCCCCCCCCCCCACUCCACCCCAAUUCUCUGUCCUUUUUUUCCCCCCUUCAGUUUUGUUUUGGCAUCCUUGUGUGUGAGGGAUAUGGAUAGUAGCUGCUGAGCACAUUUACAGACACAGAAUGGGGAAAAAGUGGAAACACUGGUGGAAUACUAAAGAACAAACAUUCUCUGAUAAUUGUUUGAGAUUCUGUUGCUGCAGCAAGUGCGUGUGUGUGUGUGUGUAAGAGUGUGAGUACACGCACGUGCAUGCAAUGUAUGUCCUAUGAGCCUGCGCCUGAAAUAUGGAGGCAGGAGCAGCUGGUGCAGAU